GCUUGCCUGAUUGCAGUCGGAUUAUGACUACUGCUGCUCGUCAGCGUCCCUCCGGAGCGGUUUCCUUGCUCACAACCCCCCCUCCCCACCUUGCCGGGGAGAGGCUGGCUGAUUAUGAGGGAGGUGGUGGUGGUAGCAGCAGCGGCGCUUGAACGGUGCGCGCACACGGCGCCAGGCGGGGAGGCGGCACAGGCAGGAGCUGCAGCGGCUUGGAAUCUCGUUUCCUCUUUGGCCUAGUUCUCUCCAGCCGCGGCGACAGGAGGAGGAGCGCUGCCCAGCAUGAGGAAGCGGCGGGGGUAGCAACUGCAGAAAUCGCAUUACUGAAGGACUGGAACACGUUUACCAGCAAAAGACUGUUAAAAUCCUCCCGUCUGACGGAUGCGAGGUGAAUACCUGCAUCUGGUAAUGAUCAUCAGCCAACUCUCACCUUCCCCAAAAGGAAACCUAGCCCAUGGAUCCAACCUGUUACCACUUAAGGAAGAGACACCAGUGGGGCUGUCUAGUGCGAAUCUGUAAGUCUGAAUUAGUAUCUUGUUGUUGAGUUGAACAAUUAGAUCCAUCCUUUUGCAAGCAGUAAAAUAUGUGUAGCACAUAAUGCCAGGUUCAUUACAAACUUCAUGUUGGAGCCAAAGUAUUCUAGUAGUAGCUCCCCAUCCUUAAGGAGAGCCGUUCGGUGGAAAGAACAUCUGGCUCCCUCUCUGACUGUUUUUAAAGGGGCCUUUAAAACCUGGUUCUUUAGAGUCCAAUUUUAACUGAAUAU